rnacentral:lncRNA from 1 species
GGACACACUCUAAUAUUCUUAUUUCCUUCUGCAACUGUGGCACCCAAACCUGCACCCAGUGCUUGGGGUGAGGCCUCACAGAGCAGAGCAGAGCGGGACAAGCCCUCCCCUCACCUGGCUUGCAGUGUGAAUGAGAACAAGAUAUUGAAUGGGCAGAGGACUAAAAAUGAGACACCAUUCAAGAAGCAUGAGAAACAGGGCAAGAAUUUCAGAGUUGUUGCAAUUUUAAGGCUUUGGCCAAAGACUGUGGAACUGCUGGUGGUACAACGCUUUGAGACAGAUGUGAAUCAACCAGAAGCUGUCCAUCUGGAGAAUGAAGGGGAUCUGGAAAACAGGACAGGGAAGGAAGGCUGAAGGAGAAGGAGUUAAUCUGAAGGAGGAAAACUUGAGACUAGAAUAUGACAGCAAGAAUCAAAGAUUAAAAAAAAGCUGAUGUUGGCCAGGAGGGAAUAAUUCCUUCUUUCUGUCUGUUAUGGUUGGGACAAGAAGCAAC